CCACCAUUGAGAGCUGCAGGCUGCCUUCUCUCAGAAGAAGAGCUGGAGGUGGUUCCAGACCCCCAAGGUGGGUGGAGGUGUACCUCAUCCUCUUUUUUGGCUUCUUGCCCUAAGAAUGAAUGGCUCAGAGUCUGCUCCUGAGGAACCUCUCCAGUAGAAGAUCAAAGAUUCAGUACCUCAGGGCUGGAAGAAAGAAAAAUGGCAGAGCACAGAGAGAGCUGUUCAUGUGACUUAGAAGAUGAGAAGAUUGAGGCCUGGAGAGGUUGAGACUUCUAUUGAAGAUUGCACGAUGCUAGUGAGUGGUACGCUCCCAAAGGUUCACCAGCAAAACGCUUGAGCUGGUGCACAUUAGGGAAACGGAAUGAUUGGUUGAUACUGGCAUGGAUAUUUUCAAGCUGAGGAAUAAACAGAUUGGGAGAAGUGAAAUAGUAUUUAUUAAUUAACAAAAAUCAGUGCAUGCGUAGUCGUUAGGAGGGUGGGGGCUAGUGCUCAACUUUCCUGGCUUCAAUCCUGAUAUUUCCUGACACUUAAUCUUGUUCCUCACUUUCUUCACCUGUAAAAUGGGGACAACAGCAAGGUCUUUCUCAUAGGGUGGUUGAGAGAAUAAAAGGCAUCAAUACAUGGCCAAGCAUUGUAUUAG